rnacentral:rRNA from 1 species
UACGGGUGGCGCGAGUGUUCUCCUUCUUUAUCAGGCGUGAAGGGUGCGUAGGCGGUCUAUAGGGUUUGGUUGGAAACACCGAAACAUCCUGGAAAACCCAUAGUUCUUGAGUGAUGAAGAAGAUAGUGGUAUCUCUUGUAUUAGAAUUGAAAAGCGUUCAAACUUGAGGGAACACCGAUUCGAAGGUAACUAUCUAUUCUUUCACUGACGCUGAGGCACGAAGGCAUGGGGAGCGAACGGG